GUGCCCAUAGUUCAGCUGGAUAGAAUGCGACACUACGAAUGUCGAGGUCGGGAGUUCGAAUCUCUCUGGGCACACCA
rnacentral:tRNA from 1 species